rnacentral:rRNA from 1 species
AAUGCCGGAUGUUCCACAUGAUCGCAUGUGAUUGUGGGAAAGAUUCUAUCGGCGUGGGAUGGGGUCGCGUCCUAUCAGCUUGUUGGUGAGGUAACGGCUCACCAAGGCUUCGACGGGUAGCCGGCCUGAGAGGGCGACCGGCCACAUUGGGACUGAGAUACGGCCCAGACUCCUACGGGAGGCAGCAGUGGGGAAUAUUGCACAAUGGGCGCAAGCCUGAUGCAGCGACGCCGCGUGAGGGAUGGAGGCCUUCGGGUUGUAAACCUCUUUUGUUUGGGAGCAAGCCUUCGGGUGAGUGUACCUUUCGAAUAAGCGCCGGCUAACUACGUGCCAGCAGCCGCGGUAAUACGUAGGGCGCAAGCGUUAUCCGGAUUUAUUGGGCGUAAAGGGCUCGUAGGCGGCUCGUCGCGUCCGGUGUGAAAGUCCAUCGCUUAACGGUGGAUCUGCGCCGGGUACGGGCGGGCUGGAGUGCGGUAGGGGAGACUGGAAUUCCCGGUGUAACGGUGGAAUGUGUAGAUAUCGG